GAGUAAGAAGUAAAGUAAAAAGAAAAAUUCGAUAGAGAUGGGGGAGAAAAUAUUCGAAAGACGAAGAGAAAAACGACUCUCUUUUUUUCGAAAAAGGAAAAAAUGAUCAGAUUUUGGAUAUACUCCCCUAAUUCACUAAUGAAAUCGCUCCCAAACCUCACUACACAUCCACCACUCAGAAACCCAGUUCAGCACAACUCUUGCUGAAAUUAGGAGCAAAAAAAAAAAAUACAACCGUAGUCAUCCCAAAGAUUCGAACCCAUGACCUUCACGAUAAUAAUACACCAUUUAACUACCAGACUAGCAGGCUCAUUCUAAUGGAAUUUACCCAACAA
rnacentral:lncRNA from 1 species